rnacentral:tRNA from 1 species
AUUUUCUUAGUAUAAUUAGUACUAAUGACUUCCAAUCAUUAAGCCUUGGUUAGACCCCAAGAGAAAAUA